rnacentral:misc_RNA from 1 species
AACUUUCAGCAACGGAUCACUUGGCUCUCGCAUCGAUGAAGAACGCAGCGAAAUGCGAUACGUAAUGUGAAUUGCAGAAUUCAGUGAAUCAUCGAAUCGUUGAACGCAUAUUGCGCUCUCUGGUAUUCCGGAGAGCAUGCUUGUUUGAGUAUCAGUAAACGCCUCAAAUCCCUCUACUUGUUGGAGGAAUUUGGACUUGAGCAAUCGCAACUUUUCGACAGAGAAGGCGGGCUGCUUGAAAUGCAGGUGCAGCCCGAUUCUUUCUUCUGAGCUAUACGCCGACCUACUUAAUCCCAUAAAACGGAUUAUUACUGUGGCUGCAGCUAACAUAAAGAUUGAAGACUCGCUAUGGCUGACUGAUCCAGAAUUUAACAUGUCGCGCAAGCGAUCUGUAAACUCGAUCAAAAAUCAAGACAGACCACCUGUCGCAGUUUACCAUAUCAAUAAGCGGAGGCG